UACAGAGGUCUCAAGCGUUGUUCGGAUUCAUUGGGCGUAAAGGGUGCGUAGGCGGCGCGGUAAGUCGGGUGUGAAAUCUUGGAGCUUAACUCCGAAACUGCAUUCGAUACUGCCGUGCUUGAGGACUGGAGAGGAGACUGGAAUUUACGGUGUAGCGGUGAAAUGCGUAGAUAUCAGGAGGAACACCGAUGGCGAAGGCAGGUCUCUGGGCCACUACUGACGCUGAGAAGCGAAAGCAUGGGGAGCGAACAGG
rnacentral:rRNA from 1 species